AUUGAACGCUGGCGGCAGGCCUAACACAUGCAAGUCGAGCGGUAGAGAGAAGCUUGCUUCUCUUGAGAGCGGCGGACGGGUGAGUAAUGCCUAGGAAUCUGCCUGGGAGUGGGGGAUAAAGUUCGGAAACGGACGCUAAUACCGCAUGCGUCCUACGGGAGAAAGCAGGGGACCUUCGGGCCGUGCGCUAUCAGAGGAGCCUAGGUCGGAUUAGCUAGUUGGUGGGGUAAUGGCUCACCAAGGCGACGAUCCGUAACUGGUCUGAGAGGAUGAUCAGUCACACUGGAACUGAGACACGGUCCAGACUCCUACGGGAGGCAGCAGUGGGGAAUAUUGGACAAUGGGCGCAAGCCUGAUCCAGCCAUGCCGCGUGUGUGAAGAAGGUCUUCGGAUUGUAAAGCACUUUAAGUUGGGAGGAAGGGCAGUAAAUUAAUACUUUGCUGUUUUGACGUUACCGACAGAAUAAGCACCGGCUAACUCUGUG
rnacentral:rRNA from 1 species